GUAUUGAUUGCGUGUGAUCGCAAAAAGUAAGACAUUCUACACAUUGCAUUAAAAGGGUGUCUGUGUAAAAACAUGAAAACCCCCCUCAGAACUAGCCAAAAGGGGUCCCCACGCGGUGAUGCACAAAAGGGGUGAGAUGGAUUAUGUGCGAGAGCACCGAGGUGUGCACGACCCUUUCAAAAGUCAGCGACAACCCCAGCACCUCGAUUGUACGAUAAUGAUCCUUCCGCAGGUUCACCUACGGAAA
rnacentral:misc_RNA from 1 species